AAUUUUCAGGUUGACC
rnacentral:rRNA from 1 species